rnacentral:rRNA from 1 species
AAUAUUGGACAAGGGGCGAAAGCCUGAUCCAGCCAUGCCGCGUGUGUUAAGAAGGUCUUCGGAUAGUAAAGCACUUUAAGUUGGGAGGAAGGGCAGUAAGUUAAUACCUUGCUGUUUUCACGUUACCGACAGAAUAAGCACCGGCUAACUUCGUGCCAGCAGCCGCGGUAAUACGAAGUGUGCAAGCGUUAAUCGGAAUUACUGGGCGUAAAGCGUGCGUAGGUGGGUUGUUAAGUUGGCAGUGAAAGCCCCGGGCUCCACCUGGGACCUGCUUUCAUAACUGCUGAGCUAGAGUACGGUAGAGGGUAGUGGAAUUUCCUGUGUAGCGGUGAAAUGCGUAGAUAUAGGAAGGAACACCAGUGGCGAAGGCGACUACCUGGACUGAUACUGACACUGAGGUGCGAAAGCGUGGGGAGCAAAC